GGACCCCCUUGCCAAUCAUCACAACACAGCCUGCACACACUCCAUCACCACCAAGACCUACACCAAGUUCAGGCCAUGCCUCCUGCAGUGCCUCUGGAGAUCCACAUUAUAACACUUUUGAUCACAGAAUUCAUCAUUUCAUGGGAAAUUGCACUUACACCCUCUCCAAAGUGUG